rnacentral:piRNA from 1 species
UAAGCCAAGAGAAUUUUCCUUAUCAAGAAG